GCUUAACACAUGCAAGUCGAGGGGCAGCGGGUUGAAAGCUUGCUUUCAAUGCCGGCGACCGGCGCACGGGUGCGUAACGCGUAUCAAACCUGCCUCAUACUCGGGGAUAGCUUUGCGAAAGUAAGAUUAAUACCCGAUGUUGUUGCUUUCUCGCAUGGGAGAGUAACCAAAGAUUUAUCGGUAUGAGAUGGUGAUGCGUCCGAUUAGGUAGUAGGCGGGGUAACGGCCCACCUAGCCUUCGAUCGGUAGGGGUUCUGAGAGGAAGGUCCCCCACACUGGAACUGAGACACGGUCCAGACUCCUACGGGAGGCAGCAGUGAGGAAUAUUGGUCAAUGGGCGAGAGCCUGAACCAGCCAAGUAGCGUGCAGGAUGACGGCCCUCCGGGUUGUAAACUGCUUUUAGUUGGGAAUAAAAAAAGGGACUUGUCCCUUCUUGUAUGUACCUUCAGAAAAAGGACCGGCUAAUUCCGUGCCAGCGGCCGCGGUAAUACGGAAGGUCCAGGCGUUAUCCGGAUUUAUUGGGUUUAAAGGGAGCGUAGGCGGAUUGUUAAGUCAGCGGUUAAAGGGUGUGGCUCAACCAUGCAUUGCCGUUGAAACUGGCGAUCUUGAGUGCAGACAGGGAUGCCGGAAUUCGUGGUGUAGCGGUGAAAUGCUUAGAUAUCACGAAGAACUCCGAUCGCGAAGGCAGGUGUCCGGGCUGCAACUGACGCUGAGGCUCGAAAGUGUGGGUAUCAAACAGGAUUAGAUACCCUGGUAGUCCACACAGUAAACGAUGUAUACUCGCGGUUUGCGAUAGACAGUAAGCCGCCAAGCGAAAGCAUUAAGUAUACCACCUGGGGAGUACG
rnacentral:rRNA from 1 species